UUCAAAAAAAAUUUACAAAGUCAAAUUUCACAGAGUCUUUACAGUCAUUCAUGCAAUUGCAAGCAUGUAUUUGUGAUUCCUAAUUAGUAUUUUCAAGGCAGCCUCUGCUAAGGAAUAAGGUUGUCAAUACUGCAGGAGUGACCUGCCAAUAACUGCUCUUGACUCAGCAACAACGCACACCUGGUUGGGAAGCUUUGAAGAUCUCAAAUUGCAUUUUUCUCUUCACCUACAGGCGAUUAUCUCAACACUGGGGAAUGUGACCCAGAGAGACGGUGCUCCCUGCGCUUUCUGCAAUCUCACCGACAGUAAGAAUGACUGUUCAGAAAGGACUGAACCUCGCUUCAACCCUGUAAAAGGUCAGUGCCUCACAGCUUCCUAAUGCUGCACGCUAAUCAACUGCCACUAAGAUGAAAGCAGUGGUACGAGAGCAGAGGUUGAAAAGAAAACCUAAAAGGACAGACCUCAACACAGAGCCAAAAUUUACUCGAAAACGAGAGGAAUAUGUAGUUUGCAGGUACACUUAACAAGUUGUGCCAAAGUAAAUAGCUAUAAGCUAGUUACUGGAAUUCCUACCGAGAACCAAAAAAGCCACAGAAAAUGCACUUCCAGAGGGAUUCCUCAAAGAGUACAUUGGAACAGGACUGGGCUAUAUUGGCAGGAUAGCUUUUUCCUCAUCUAUCCAGUUUCUGUUUUUAGGAAAAACUAAGCCUGGCUCAAGUCUUUCACAGAAGUUUGUGUUGGCCAUCCCAGCUCUGAUCACUGAAACUUGCCAACCCUGCUCUUUGAGAGAUGAGCACUCAAGCCGAAGGGGCAGUACUUGUUCCUGUUACACAAACACCCAAGGUGAGAAGAAAAGCACUAGCACGUGAGGCACUGCACACACCAACUGCAGGCACAGCAGUUGGGAUGAACUAUGAAAAUGGCUGGAAGAACACGUUUAUAAGCCUGAGAGGGUCCUUACUAAAGUAGCUCAAGACCUCACCAUCUUUGGUGGAGGUCUUCACUGAGCUUCUUCAGACACUUGGAGUAACAACCCCCCCAUUUUUUUCAUAUACCAUACCUUAUAUUUAUUUCACUGUAGAAAAAAAAUAUUUUACAGACUUGGUAUUAAAUGCAAGUUACAAUGUUUGUGACAUAGCACACCACUGGAGAUAGUCCAAGUAUCAUUUGUGUAUCUAAAAUAAUGCAAGGUGUCUUGUGGUGUUGGCUUCCUGCAAAGUUAUCUGAGGAAAUUGACAAAGAACUCCACAAAUUAAAACUGCAAGCACCAUAUAAACUUCAUAACAUCAUUUCAGCCACAUAGCCACGAUAUCUCUGGCUUCCUCUUCAGGUCUUACUACCCAAAUUAUUUCUUGGGUGUAAUGACUAUGAAUAGGAACUUACACCAGAAACUGUGCAACUGGGCAAGGUAACUAUUGUUGCAGUUACCUUGUAAGACAGCAAACAGAAGGGGCAACCAUGGCUGAGAAGAUCUCUUAAUGUGAGAGCCUUUCUGCCUACCAAUGCCUACAGAUCUACUCGCUAGGAACAUCAGCAGUAGACUUCAGUUGCCCAGGGUUGGCAAGGCUGACUUUGAGGAAGACAAAGCCAGGGAAGAACUGCAGAUGGAAGUUAUGACCACCAUAUCAUUGGCACAGAACGUGUAAUAGGGUUCUCAGAGACAUCUGCCAUUCCUAGGUGUCCCAAUAGGCUUGUGUUUCAUCAUCUACAAACAUUUCUUCCCCAGAACAUGACAUUUUUCUGCUUUCAAAGCCACGGAGUGCUGCUAGUGAAUGAACAAGAACCUGUGUGCCAUGCCACACUGAUCAGCAUAUGGGUGACAUUCAGUGUCAAAACUGGGACUGUGCCCAGCCCACACUGCUCUGAUGAAACGAAUUUAUGGCUUCACAUCAGGCUCUGCAACCCCCUGCCUAGAAGCAGGCUGUACAGAAGGGGGCCAGGAAUCAGGCAAGUUACUCAAAAAUAAACAUUAAGAAGGUGUUUGGUUUUCUUAAACCAAGUUUCAGAGUUUACAAUACCUCAAGUUUUAAAAAUGUCAAAAGCCUUCAAGAACUUCUUUUCCAGAAAGACAAGUGAGAGGCUGUCUGGCCCGGAGCGAGGUCCACGGAGAGCUCCUAUAAACCCUGGCAGUAGAACAGGCACUCAGUAUGCACACCAGCAACAGCCUGAGAGCUCUCCUCGAAGUCAGAAUGCUCCGCUUCCUUAAGGGAAACUCUUAGGAGCGUAUCCAUCUAGCUAGAACAACACAGAGGUCUUCUAUAUAUUUGGUAACAUUUUUGUCCAAGUGAUUUUAAAAGACUUCUUCAAAAAUAAAUUUCCUGCCUUUAGAAGUUUACUGUCUGAAAACUUAUCUAUACAGUCGGGUAAACAACUUUUAGAUGGCAUUUAACGGGAAAAUUUACACACAAAUCUGACGUAUUCCUGCCUUUAGAAGACAGGUAUGAAACGUAACUGUUUGUUUAGUCAUACACGAUUGGUGAAUUUUGUGAUGAUUUCUGUUUAAAGCUCAUUAAAAACUAUCUGAUCUGAAACCUCAAACACCCUUGCAAUAAUGGUUCAUUCACGGUAAGAACCUGCAAAAAAAAUAAUAAAAUCAGACUCAGUCAAAGGAACCGGUUUUUGAUCUUUCUCCCCUUUAAAUCUGUCUGGAAAGACACAGUUUCACUUCCCUGCAUCUACGAGGUUUUUCACCACUGUUAUUUCAGACCUCUCUCCAUCAAAGAUCUAAGACGGCAGCUCUGCACAAUUUGGGAAGCCAAUUGGUUCAGGUUAAGGCUAAAAGGAAAGAAUGCUCAAAUAAAAUCCCUCUCACUGGAAAUAUUCAGAAAUUUAAUUCCCUGUUUUCAUGGAGCAGAAGCCAGCCUGUUGUCCCAUCAUGAACUGUGUGGUGGUCGAAGGAGGGGCGAUGGGAAGGCUGUCCACUCUGAAAAACGCAAACUGUUGGCUACGUUUCCACACUGGACCCGUGCUUUCCUUAAAAGCCAUUUCUCCAUUUUAGUGCUGAACUUGGAUAUUGUAUAUUUGUCUACAGUGUCAGUCUCCAAUUACAGAAAAAUACCUUUAAAAACCAUCUGUAGCAAGACAUUUUAAUAAAAAUGCAGGUAGAAGGUCCAAUGAAACCACGAGCAGUACUGAGCAUGUUCUCUUCCCAUUCAGAACAAAAAUUAUUUACAUUUCACUUCAGAUUAAAUACAAAAAGGCUCCUUUCUUCCUAACACUAGCAACUUCUUCCUACGCACUGAAUUUGUAUUUGUUUCCUAUUAUCUGUCUUCCCACUUUUAUAUUCAGUAAGGUAUAUUUUGGGGGAAUAAAUUUUAACAUAAAACCUUAAACAUUUAUUUUCUUGUCAUAAUUGUACUUUCCUUUAUAUUCUUAAAUACUUUUCAUCUAGCUACGGUUUUAAUUUGAUCUUUUCCACUAAAGGAUACAACUAUUUUUAAAAGGAUAAUAUCAACUAAAUCUUUUUCUUCUAGGAAAAAAAAAAAAGACAUGACACAAAGAAUCUCCCUCUCCUUAUUUUUAACCACUCUCCUAGGGAUUUCAUUCUCUUGAACCUCUGCCCUUUGUCAAACAGUGGCUGGAUCAGAACUUCAUGAAGGAUAGGAAGAAAAAUCACAUAAGGCAGGGAGACUUAUUAAAACCAUCUGAAAAAAAGUACAGUUUUUAUGAAUCCCUGAUAUUCUGGUUAAUCUCAGGUACUGCUCUUACUGAUUGGAAGCUACCAGUGAGCUCUGCAGAAGCUCAUGACCGAAGCACACAGCAGUAAACGUAAAGCCCCUACGUAUCCCAAAUGCAGUUCAAGUACAGGACACAGAGAACAAGAGAAGGCUAUUUAUUCAUCUUUGUGCUGUGUGCUCACACCCCCACUUCUAAGACUCUGUUAGAGAGUAACAAAUGAAAAGCUGAAUAGGCCUAACACUCCUGGUAACCCAUACUUCGGGUUUUUAACCACAGAUUAUUAAAAUAUUAAUCUACCAUCUAUGUAUACUUUCAUAAAAGAUAGAGAACCAUAUAACAAUUUGCAUCAGAAGGGACCACAAGUCCCCCACUCAAAGCAAGGCUAACUUCAGCAUUGUAGCAGGUUGCUCAGAACUUGACUGUGCUCAGAACUUGACUGUGAAUCUCAAGGCUGGAGAUUCCCCAUUCUCUCUGGGCAGCC